rnacentral:lncRNA from 1 species
UGUCUCUCCAAACGUGAACUCGAGGCUCCAUGUGCUGCCCAGCUGGAGGUCAGGUGUGCUGUGAAGACAGACUACAUUUCUUCCCCUAGAUGACACAUGAUCUGUGGAACUACUGCAGCUUUUUUGACAUCAUGAGGUAUCUGGUCUUUCUGGAGCAGAGCUCAUGGAAGUUGAAGCUGAGGCUGACACCACAGAGAUCAACUGCGGGAUUUUUGUUAGACUGGAAGCAUAAGAUAUUGCUGAUAAUUUAA